rnacentral:lncRNA from 1 species
UGAAGUUAAAACAUCUUGAUGCAUUUGUUUCUUAUAAACAUGCUUUUCGCUUCACAAGACAUUAACUGAUGGACUGGAGUGGUGUGGAUUACUUGUGGACUAUUGUGAUGUUUUUAUCAGAUGUUUGGACUCUCAUUCUGACGGCACCCAUUCACUGCAGAGGAUCCACUGGUAAUUGCAACACAUGCCAAAUGUGUAGUUUCAUCACAUCAAAACACUGGGAAUAAUUAGGAAGAUUUUGGGUCUUUCCAGCAGCCACUCAUUUCAGUCUCCCACCGGUAAGCUAAACGCUACAUCACGGUCUGUGUAACUGAUGUGUUCAGCAGUGAUAAAGGUUGUUAUCUUCCUCAUCCACCUCACAGAUGACCCAGCGAGGGGCCAGACACGAGAUGAUUGUUUGUGGCAUUGAUGUAACGUCUAGAAGAGCUUCAGUCUGUAAUUAUGUGAAGUGCUCAUGAAGGAGACAGACACGGUGAAGAUAAAUGUUCCCCGGCGCAAAGUCUGAUGAAAAAUGGUCUCUGUAAAUAUAAGCUGUAACCAUAAAAGCAUUCAGAAACAUCCAAACCAAAGAUCUGAUGAAGCUUCUCUGUAUUGAUUCGGGAGGUCCUCACCAGCUCGAGUUUCUCCAGCCUGAGCAUUAAACAAUAGCAGCGUUUAUGUGGUUAACUCCUGCGUAUCGCGUUGCAUCAAAUACUGCAGAUACUUGCAUGACCAAUACUUAUUUAUACUGUAAUUUUACUGAGCUUAGUCUUUAUUUACUUUCAUUGCAGGUCUGGUUCUCAUAUGCGCUUAGUAAUAAAGAUACAUACUAAUAUCUCGUUGAAGACACUGGGUUUCUUCAGAAUGGCGUACUAACUUUUUUUUUUUUUUUUUUUUUUUUUGCAAGCUAGAAGUAAUCUGUGUGAAAAUAAAUUGUGGCUAUAAAGUAAGUCAUAA